rnacentral:rRNA from 1 species
CGAACCGACUUACGUUGAAAAGUGAGCGGAUGAACUGAGGGUAGCGGAGAAAUUCCAAUCGAACCUGGAGAUAGCUGGUUCUCUCCGAAAUAGCUUUAGGGCUAGCCUCAAGUGAUGAUUAUUGGAGGUAGAGCACUGUUUGGACGAGGGGCCCCUCUCGGGUUACCGAAUUCAGACAAACUCCGAAUGCCAAUUAAUUUAACUUGGGAGUCAGAACAUGGGUGAUAAGGUCCGUGUUCGAAAGGGAAACAGCCCAGACCACCAGCUAAGGUCCCAAAAUAUAUGUUAAGUGGAAAAGGAUGUGGCGUUGCCCAGACAACUAGGAUGUUGGCUUAGAAGCAGCCAUCAUUUAAAGAGUGCGUAAUAGCUCACUAGUCGAGUGACACUGCGCCGAAAAUGUACCGGGGCUAAACAUAUUACCGAAGCUGUGGAUUGUCCUUUGGACAAUGGUAGGAGAGCGUUCUAAGGGCGUUGAAGCAUGAUCGUAAGGACAUGUGGAGCGCUUAGAAGUGAGAAUGCCGGUGUGAGUAGCGAAAGACGGGUGAGAAUCCCGUCCACCGAUUGACUAAGGUUUCCAGAGGAAGGCUCGUCCGCUCUGGGUUAGUCGGGUCCUAAGCUGAGGCCGACAGGCGUAGGCGAUGGAUAACAGGUUGAUAUUCCUGUACCACCUAUAAUCGUUUUAAUCGAUGGGGGGACGCAGUAGGAUAGGCGAAGCGUGCGAUUGGAUUGCACGUCUAAGCAGUAAGGCUGAGUAUUAGGCAAAUCCGGUACUCGUUAAGGCUGAGCUGUGAUGGGGAGAAGACAUUGUGUCUUCGAGUCGUUGAUUUCACACUGCCGAGAAAAGCCUCUAGAUAGAAAAUAGGUGCCCGUACCGCAAACCGACACAGGUAGUCAAGAUGAGAAUUCUAAGGUGAGCGAGCGAACUCUCGUUAAGGAACUCGGCAAAAUGACCCCGUAACUUCGGGAGAAGGGGUGCUCUUUAGGGUUAACGCCCAGAAGAGCCGCAGUGAAUAGGCCCAAGCGACUGUUUAUCAAAAACACAGGUCUCUGCUAAACCGUAAGGUGAUGUAUAGGGGCUGACGCCUGCCCGGUGCUGGAAGGUUAAGAGGAGUGGUUAGCUUCUGCGAAGCUACGAAUCGAAGCCCCAGUAAACGGCGGCCGUAACUAUAACGGUCCUAAGGUAGCGAAAUUCCUUGUCGGGUAAGUUCCGACCCGCACGAAAGGCGUAACGAUUUGGGCACUGUCUCAACGAGAGACUCGGUGAAAUCAUAGUACCUGUGAAGAUGCAGGUUACCCGCGACAGGACGGAAAGACCCCGUGGAGCUUUACUGUAGCCUGAUAUUGAAAUUCGGCACAGCUUGUACAGGAUAGGUAGGAGCCUUUGAAACGUGAGCGCUAGCUUACGUGGAGGCGCUGGUGGGAUACUACCCUAGCUGUGUUGGCUUUCUAACCCGCACCACUUAUCGUGGUGGGAGACAGUGUCAGGCGGGCAGUUUGACUGGGGCGGUCGCCUCCUAAAAGGUAACGGAGGCGCUCAAAGGUUCCCUCAGAAUGGUUGGAAAUCAUUCAUAGAGUGUAAAGGCAUAAGGGAGCUUGACUGCGAGACCUACAAGUCGAGCAGGGUCGAAAGACGGACUUAGUGAUCCGGUGGUUCCGCAUGGAAGGGCCAUCGCUCAACGGAUAAAAGCUACCCCGGGGAUAACAGGCUUAUCUCCCCCAAGAGUUCACAUCGACGGGGAGGUUUGGCACCUCGAUGUCGGCUCAUCGCAUCCUGGGGCUGUAGUCGGUCCCAAGGGUUGGGCUGUUCGCCCAUUAAAGCGGUACGCGAGCUGGGUUCAGAACGUCGUGAGACAGUUCGGUCCCUAUCCGUCGUGGGCGUAGGAAAUUUGAGAGGAGCUGUCCUUAGUACGAGAGGACCGGGAUGGACAUACCUCUGGUGUACCAGUUGUCGUGCCAACGGCAUAGCUGGGUAGCUAUGUGUGGACGGGAUAAGUGCUGAAAGCAUCUAAGCAUGAAGCCCCCCUCAAGAUGAGAUUUCCCAACUUCGGUUAUAAGAUCCCUCAAAGAUGAUGAGGUUAAUAGGUUCGAGGUGGAAGCAUGGUGACAUGUGGAGCUGACGAAUACUAAUCGAUCGAAGACUUAAUCAA